UCAAGACUUUGUCACUAGAAACAGAGGGAUUUCCAUAAUAUACCAGGUGGUGAUGUCAAAAAUAGCGACAGCACAAUUUUAGUGUUCAAAGUCCCACUGCUAUCCCGCCUGGAGUAGCAACAUUUACUUAGAGUUUAACUGCAGGUGUUUUCGGAACAUAUUCUUAGAUUUUCCAAGUCCACUAAUUGGAAAAAUACUCUGUAAGUUUUCAACUGCAUUUUUCUCAGACCAGUAAAAGCCCUUCUAUUACAUUAAAUCAAUGGACUUUGAUUAUUAUAAACUGCUAAGUGUUGGCUCUUUGCAUAUUGAAAUACUGAGCCUUGUACAUAUUGCUCCAUUAAAAAGACACAUAUUUAAUGGUGAUUCGGAAAGAGAACUUUGUAUUGUUAAAGCAAAAUCACAACUUUGUUUUAACUGAACGUGUCAGCAGUCCUACGUCGAUGAGCUUACUGAUUAAUCUGUAAUCAUAUUAUAAAACACUUGCUGAUCUUUCAGGAAUGCCUGUGUCCCUUGAUUUUCAUCUCAUGACCUCCAUCACAGAUGUGUGACCACCACAGAAGCUGGUUCUCAGCCAUGGGCCAUUCUAUUGCCCCGUGGACAGUAGUCCUCUUAGUUCAGGCACAGGCAUUUCCAGGAAAUAUUUAGGAAGUCAAAAGGAGUUAAAAAUGGAUGGCAGAGGUGACUGACGGGCAUGCAUCUUUGCGGCUACCGGCUACACACUGUCACCAUGGUUACCAGACACCAGGGUAGAGGAUCAGAAUCAGUCCAGGAACAAAAGUUGAAGAACGGUCUUGAUCUUGGAAUGCUCCGUGAUCUUGAACCUGGCAAGCUCUCAAGUCUUUCUGUUCACCAUGCCCAUCGACUUCAUCCCACGUCUACCUUCAAACCAUAUGCUUCUGCUAUUUGAACUAUGUUCACUUCAGAGGAUGACUUAGAUGGUGAUGACCCCUCGCUUCUGCUCAUGUUGCUCCCUUUGCUGGGAAGGCCCUUCUACACCAUUUGUCUGAGAAGAUAAAAGAAGCCUAGGAACCCUACGUGACUACAGUGAAGAGGGGGACACUACCAACUGGGAUGAUGGAGCCAGAAAGAGAUGUUGAUGCUGCCACUUCACUAAACGGCCUUGGACCACCCUCCCCACCUCACAAAACAUCAGGCAACUAAAACUGAGAGAUUUCACUGCCGGCAGACUUACAGCCGAGAAAUGCUAAAGGGAUUACUUCAAAGGAAGAGGAAACGGCACCAGAUGGAAAAUCAAAUCAACAGGAAAGAAUGAAGAGCACCAGAAAUGGUAAAAAUGUGGUUCAAUGUAGAAG